rnacentral:lncRNA from 1 species
CACCUUUUCGUUCUAUUAAAGAGAUCAAGAACGCAUAGAGUAGUUUGGACAAUUUCUUGAAGAUCAACCUCUGAAAUAUCCCCUCUCCACAUAAUAUGGCCAGCUCAUCUGACCAGCAUUGCAACGAAUGCCUCUAUAUAAGACUAUUUGGAUGUGGCACCACCUUUGCCCCGCAACCAUGCCACGACGGGCUUAUGUCCUACG